CUAAAAAAUGGGAGAUAGCACUAAACAGUUUAUCCAAUUCUCAUUCCAAUAAAAAUCAACAAAACAGAAAAUCAUAUGACACAACUACAGAUUCAAAAAAUCUGAAUCCAAAGACAUCUAUAAUGAGAGAUUAGGAGG